UCACCAAGCUCGUCAUGCUAGAGCAUUUUCAAUGUGCUCCCCAACGAGAAGGCGACGACGCAUUUAUAUGUCAAUCCAUAUCAACUUUCGAUGCCAUUGACUGCGCCUACCAUGGUGACCAUGGGUAAUGGGGAAUCAGGGUUCGAUUCCAUACAGGGACCCUGACAAAUGGCUACCACAUGCAAGGAAGGCAGCAGGCAUGCAAAUGACCCGCUCCCGACGCGGGAAGGUAAUGACGA